rnacentral:rRNA from 1 species
GUGGGGAAUAUUGGACAAUGGGCGAAAGCCUGAUCCAGCCAUGCCGCGUGUGUGAAGAAGGUCUUCGGAUUGUAAAGCACUUUAAGUUGGGAGGAAGGGUAGUAACCUAAUACGUUGCUACUUUGACGUUACCGACAGAAUAAGCACCGGCUAACUUCGUGCCAGCAGCCGCGGUAAUACGAAGGGUGCAAGCGUUAAUCGGAAUUACUGGGCGUAAAGCGCGCGUAGGUGGUUCAGUAAGUUGGAAGUGAAAUCCCCGGACUCAACCUGGGAACUGCUUUCAAAACUGCUGAGCUAGAGUACGGUAGAGGGUGGUGGAAUUUCCUGUGUAGCGGUGAAAUGCGUAGAUAUAGGAAGGAACACCAGUGGCGAAGGCGACCACCUGGACUGAUACUGACACUGAGGUGCGAAAGCGUGGGGAGCAAACAGGAUUAGAAACCCCGGUAGUCC